CUUUGGUCUUGCACCGAUGGUCCGUUUUCUAGCAGUGCGUUGGGAGGCAUUCGUGGCGGCGGAUCGGCCCCCGGCCGUCUCUCGCCGGCGUGGCGGCAGAUCGGCUCCCGCCCGAAGGUCGCCAUACGGUCUUAACCCUGGGAGGUGGGGUGGCAGCCCAUGUUUGCCGGCGGACACUCAUCCGUCCGGUGGAUCGAGGCCCCGCCUGGUGCUCGAUGACGAGGACGGCUUCGGCGGCGGCAGGUGGAUGGGGAUCCCCGAGCGGGUGCGGUACAGCCUCGCUCAACGCCACCGUCAGGUUCACCUUCCGCAACAUCUGCACCUUCUUCGGGGUGCACUCCCGCCGAUCCCGUCACGCUCUACUACACCCCUCCCGCUCGCCUCCGGCAAUGUUUUGUGCAGAUCAUUAAUUCAGCAGUUUCUUCUCUUUUUCUUUACAGCUUGAGGUUUGUGUCUCUUACCUUAUCAGAAUUGGAAUUUCUUAUAUCAAAUAUGAAGGUUCCCUAUUUCUUUCUGUAUCAUGUGCAGGAUCACAGUUCCUAUAUUGCCUUGGAUAGAUCUACUGAUUGGAUAUAGUUGUUGCGGUUUGGUCUUGAUCAGUCAGCUUUGGGGCGAUCACGGGAGGGCUGCUUCUUCAUCGGCGAUUGCUGCGUUGGGGCGCGCUGCUUUGAUAAAAAAUAUUGUACAGGAUUUAAACUUACGUUUGAUGCUGUAUUCAAUAUAUAGAUUGAGAAUUUUCAGUGAAAAAAAGGCCCAGUUUAGUGGUCA